rnacentral:SRP_RNA from 1 species
GCCAGGCAUGGGGGCUCAUGCCUGUAAUCCCAACAUCUUGGGAGGCUGAGACAGGAGGAUUGCUUGAGCCCAGGAUUUCAAGACCAGCCUGGGCAACAUAGUGAGAUCCUGUAUCUA